UUUUCUGGCAACGUGAGAAAAUGGUACAUGUCAGACUGAACUUCUCUGGCACUCAGGAAUAUGUGAAUAUCAGAAGAAAAACACGUUUGCCCUUUUAAGACAUUUCAGGGCGUUCGUACACUGCCUCCGUCAUGUUUCAUGCCAGACAUCCUGUUACCAUGGCUACUGAAGAACCACAGAACAAAACACAGGGAGACCCCACGAUCGAAGCAGGCGACAUUCAUUACGCUUCUCUGGGCCGUCAGAACUGGAGAGAGAGGCCGCACACUCAGGGCGAGAGACACCAUGUGAUCUACUCCACUGUGGCUGGAGGGCCAGUUUAGUCAGAGGAGGACA